rnacentral:rRNA from 1 species
CCUACGGGUGGCAGCAGUGAGGAAUAUUGGUCAAUGGACGAGAGUCUGAACCAGCCAAGUAGCGUGAAGGAUGACUGCCCUAUGGGUUGUAAACUUCUUUUAUAUGGGAAUAAAACGUUCCACGUGUGGGAUUUUGUAUGUACCAUAUGAAUAAGGAUCGGCUAACUCCGUGCCAGCAGCCGCGGUAAUACGUAGGAUCCGAGCGUUAUCCGGAUUUAUUGGGUUUAAAGGGAGCGUAGGUGGAUUGUUAAGUCAGUUGUGAAAGUUUGCGGCUCAACCGUAAAAUUGCAGUUGAAACUGGCAGUCUUGAGUACAGUAGAGGUGGGCGGAAUUCGUGGUGUAGCGGUGAAAUGCUUAGAUAUCACGAAGAACUCCGAUGGCGAAGGCAGUUCACUGGACUGCAACUGACACUGAGGCUCGAAAGUGUGGGUAUCAAACAGGAUUAGAUACCCUAGUAGUC